rnacentral:lncRNA from 1 species
AAACUGCAGCUUCCUUCUCACCUUGAAGAAUAAUCCUAGAAAACUCACAAAAUGUGUGAUGCUUUUGUAGGUACCUGGAAACUUGUCUCCAGUGAAAACUUUGAUGAUUAUAUGAAAGAAGUAGUGGGCUUUGCCACCAGGAAAGUGGCUGGCAUGGCCAAACCUAACAUGAUCAUCAGUGUGAAUGGGGAUGUGAUCACCAUUAAAUCUGAAAGUACCUUUAAAAAUACUGAGAUUUCCUUCAUACUGGGCCAGGAAUUUGACGAAGUCACUGCAGAUGACAGGAAAGUCAAGCACCAUAACCUUAGAUGGGGGUGUCCUGGUACAUGUGCAGAAAUGGGAUGGAAAAUCAACCACCAUAAAGAGAAAACGAGAGGAUGAUAAACUGGUGGAAUGCGUCAUGAAAGGCGUCACUUCCACGAGAGUUUAUGAGAGAGCAUAAGCCAAGGGACGUUGACCUGGACUGAAGUUCGCAUUGAACUCUACAACAUUCUGUGGGAUAUAUUGUUCAAAAAGAUAUUGUUGUUUUCCAUGAUUUAGCAAGCAACUAAUUUUCUCCCAAGCUGAUUUUAUUCAAUAUGGUUACGUUGGUUAAAUAAACUUUUU